rnacentral:rRNA from 1 species
AUUCCAGCUCCAAUAGCGUAUAUUAAAGUUGUUGCAGUUAAAAAGCUCGUAGUCGGAUUUCGGGGCGGGCCGGGCGGUCUGCCGAUGGGUAUGCACUGUUCGGCGCGUCCUUCUUUCUGGAGACCGCGCCUACUCUUAGCUGAGCGGGCGUGGGAGACGGAUCGUUUACUUUGAAAAAAUCAGAGUGUUUCAAGCAGGCAGCUCGCUCUUGCAUGGAUUAGCAUGGGAUAAUGAAAUAGGACUCUGGUGCUAUUUUGUUGGUUUCGAACACCGGAGUAAUGAUUAACAGGGACAGUCAGGGGCACUCGUAUUCCGUCGAGAGAGGUGAAAUUCUCAGACCAAUGGAAGACGAACCACUGCGAAAGCAUUUGCCAGGGAUGUUUUCAUCA